GGCAGUGGUAGCUCAGUGGUUAAGACAUCUGGACUCCUGAUCAGAAAGUCAUGAGUUCAAACCCUAGCACUGCCA